rnacentral:tRNA from 1 species
GCCGCAGUAGCUCAGUCCGGGAGAGCGUUCGGCUGAAGACCGAUGUGUCGCUGGUUCAAAUCCGGCCUGCGGCA